UAAAUUUCAUUCACUCCGCAUACUCAAUCCUAUAGACACCUUUUUAAUCCUUCAAUCACAGACGUAACUCGAUUUCAUAAAACAGUCAAGAGUAUUCAAACCCACUUCAUUAAAAAUCCUGAUUCACCAUUACAAUACUGACUUCAGCAGCGAUUGCCUCAGUCUUUCCAAAACUCUACGAAGAAGAAAAAUCCAAAUUCUAUGUCUUUCCUUCCCCGACCCGAAGCAUGAAGCUCCUCUUCUCUAAUCCCCUUGAUCUUCAAAAACCUCCAAUGAAAACCGAACUAGUAACCUUGCAAAAGCUUGAAACUAGCUUCCCACGAUUCCCAGAGAAAAAAAAAAAAAAAAAAAAAAAAAAAAAAAAAAAAACCCUUCAAAACUAUAUCCCCCCUAACCUUAUCCUCUGAAUUUCUUCAAUCUUCCGUCUUAGAUCCGGAAUUGGCUCCCGUCGUCAGAGCUUAGAUCCAAAAUUGGCUCACGUCAUCAAGGCCUUCUCCUCCGUUUUUACCUUUAAGAGAUCCAUUUACCGAAAACAACGUUCCCUGAAACGGCACAGAGAACAGGACAGCUUGAAACAGAAUCGAAAUCCCGUAAUCGGGACCACAUUGAGUCGCCCGACCAAUUCAGGUCCCAUAUUGAGUAAGAUGCUCGUAAUAACCUGGAUGUUUCCGUAAUUGGGUCUGCAUUGGGUUGCCCGGCCAAUUCAGGUCUCAUAUUGGGUAAGAAGACCCGGAUUGGAUUCUUGAAAUUGGAUCCAAUUGGCUCUUCGAACCCGUCGUGUGAAUUGGUCCUUCUCUUCCUGCGGACUUCCGUUAUUGGAAUUGAAUGGAGCAUUUCAGUAUGCCCCGAAUGACUGUAACGGGGUGACUGAACCUGGCCACUCAGUAUUUGUAUAGGAGUUGGUCGAUGCUCCCAAUAUUCGAGGUAACUGAAUAUUAAUAAAAUUCCCCUUUCUUUUUAUUUUCACUGUAUACUCGUGUUACAACACAGCAUCCACCCCCUCUGAACCUGUGCAUCCUCCGGUAUGUACCAAUUUACCCAAUUGUUGUUUGAUUCAGAAUAUAUCCUCUACGUCUUUGUCCUGUUCGUCUUCGUCACCUUCAUUAUCCAAAUCACUUUCAUCUUCUUGCUGCGGAAUCUCUAUACCUUCAUUAAGAUCUUCCAUAUUCAUCUCUGCAUGUCUUCGUUUAAAUAUUUUUACUCGCUUCCCUGCAAUUGUUAUUUUCAAUUUUGUACCAUCUAACUCCCGUAAUGAGUAAGUCGCAUUAUCAUGAACAGUUGUUACCACAUAUGGUCCAAACCAACGUUUUGAGAAUUUCCUCAAAGUACUAUGUUGAUUAUCCAGACUAUUGUCAUAAACAAGUACCCAGUCACCUUCCUCGAUUGCUUUUGGUCUCAAUCGAUAUUGCUUAUCGAAUCGUGCCUUGUUUUGUAACCUUGCUCUUUUUAACCUUUCCAAUGCUAUCUGGACAUCUUCCGUUCUUUGCUCCAAUUGUCGAAUCCUAAUAGCCAGAAGUUCUUCUCUUGUCAAUCCAUCUUCCCAUGGUAGCAUACUCCAAGUAAGUAUCUUUUCUUCAAUCAACAUAAUUGGUUUUUGACCUGUCAUAAGUUCUACUGGCAUAUAUCCUGUCACCGAACUAUGUGUUGUUCGAUCAGCCCAUAAUGCAAAUGACAAAAGCCGUAGCCACUCUUUGACUUUCCCAUUACAAGCUUUAACCAAUGCUUUCACAAUCGAUGGGUGUCCACGUUUGCUUUUCGCAUUCCCUUCUGGAUUACAAGCAGUAGUCAGUGAUAGUUUAACUCCACAUCUUUCAAAGAACUUACAAGCUUCUUGUGCAUUUAAUUCUCCACGAUCUACAGUGAUUUUUCCUACGCACCCGUAAUGGCAAAUGACAUCUUCAAGCAAAAACCUACAAAUCCCCUCUGUAGAUUUUGUCCUCAAUGCUCUUCCUUCUACUUGAUUUGAUAAAUCUUCACGAGCUAAAACCAAAUAUCUCAUCUGCCAUAACCCAACCGGCAUAAUAACCAAAUCAACAAUCCAUUUAAAAUGAAUAGCCAGAGGAUACGUAGGAUGAAGAUCAUCUCGAUGUAAAAUCCAUAUGUUUUUUUUCUUAUUUGUUUGAAUUUUUCUGUAGACCAAUUCCCCUACUUAGUCAAGGUAUUCAAAUAAUGACCAAUAUCCAAUAAUUCUCCUUCAUAAGAUUCUUCAAGAAUUAGCUUGUCUUCUCUGUUGAGAUUUGAUAUUGAAUAGAAUUUCAAUCCGACGUCAUCAAUGUCUUCAACCAUUUCGUCCUCCCUCUCGUAUCUUGCUCGAGAUAGCAUGUCUGCUACUAAAUUAUCCUUCCCAGUGAUAUGCUUAAAUUUUGGAUUUAGUGACUUAAUAUAAGCAAUCCAUCUCAACAUUGCAAUAUCUGGCGUUGAACAGUUAAUAAUCAUUCCAAGCAAUGGCAAGCAAUCUGUUUCAAUUACUACUACUGCCCCAAUCAAAUAGUCCCUUUCAGCUUUCAUAGCCGAAACGACUCCCCAAAGUUCUCUUUUGACUUGCGAAUAUGCACGCUGACGAAUACUUAAAACUUUAGCCCCAAAUCGAACUGCAAAUCUACUCCCAUUUGAAUCAUCUUGACCCACAGUCCAUCCAACGGCAAUUGGAUUAGCGUCUACAGUAAGAAUCACUGGUCUAUUGCACUUAUAAUCAACCUUCCUCAAUAUUGGAGGUGACAUCAAUAAUUUCUUCAAUCUUUGCAUUGCCUGAAUAUGCCUUUCUUCCCAUUUAAAUCGGUAACCCUUGCGUAACAGUUCAUAUAAUGGAUCCGCUAUGUGAGCAAAAUGAGGGAUCCAGAUUCGAUAAAAUACACAUGCACCCAAAAACCUGCGAACCUCUGUUAAAGAAUCACAAUCCUCUUUCAUCCUUCCAAUUGCAUCAACUUUAGUCGGAUCUGGUUUUCUUCCGUAGGAUCCACAUAAAUGUCCAACAAUUACAACCUCUCGUACUCCAAAUACGGACUUCAUACCCGAUAAUGUAAGAUGAACUUCUCCAAGCUGAGUUAAAAUCUUUUCACAAUCUUGUAUAUGAUUAACAACAUAUCUGCGACACUCCCUCGUAUCUAAAGUUUCAUCCUUGUCUCCUUCUCUGCACCCUUUUAUAAGAACAUCAUCCAGAAAAGGCAUAGUCUUUUUCGGAAUAAAAUCUGUCAAUACCUUAUUCAUCCCAUUCAUCAUAUGCGCAAUUGAGUUGGUCGUGCCUUGAGGAAGAGUGCACAUUCUAACCAAUCCAAGUGGUGUCCUCAUUGUUGUCAUAUCUCUACUUCCUUCGGCAAGUUGAAAUUGAUCAUAACCUGAAUACAAAUCACCCAUUGAAUAGAUCGCCCUUCCAGCAAACGCCUCAGCAAAUUCAUCCACAAUAGGUCCAAUUUCUGCAUUCCUGACAGUUACAGCAUUCACCGGCUGCAUAUCUUGAAUAAACCAUAGUGACCCAUUCUUCUUAGGUACCGUAAACCAUCGACUAGAAUACGGCGCAAAUGAAGGUUCUAAUAUUUUCAUCUUUAUCUUUUCUUUCAAUAGUUCGACCAAUUUAGGUAAAUGUACCCUCGGUACUGGAAUCGGUCUUAGAUUCCAAGGUACAUGCGGUACAGUGAAGAUAACCAUAGGUGUUAUAAUAUUUGGAUCCACAUACCUAAUUUCAUGAGAUUCGAAAGCAAACGAUCUACCUUGUUUAGCCAACAUCUUUUUGAAGCAAGUAAUUUCCUUCGGCAAUAAAGAACCAUCAGAACCAAUCUUCAAUUCUUCAAAAGUCUCUUUAGUAAACUGAUGUCCAAUACUCAUUGGAUCUCUUAAACUUGCUUCUUUUGAUGCUUCUCCCAUUUGUUCUUUAGAAUCUUCUCGUAAUGGUCUAGCAACAGGCUUUACCUUCUUAUCUGUCGUUUUAUAUCUCGUCUCUACAGUGACUUGUGGUGCUUGAAAAGAUUCAAGCCUGCUAUAAACCUCUCUCGAAUGAAUCUCAACAAUCUUAUCAUUAUCUCCUAACCCAAUAGAUGUAAUCAAUUCCAAUGAAUCUUCCAGUCCAUUUUCUUCAUAAACACCCAAAAUCCUCUCAUCAUCUUGCAAUGUACCUAUCUUGCGUAAUUGUCCUUCAAUAUCAUAUAAUCUUUUUCUUUCUUUUCUUUUAAAAUCAUCAACUUUCUUAUACAUAAUAUUUCCAUUCUCCAAAAUACCAAUAAAACUCGCAUCAAAGGCACCUUCAUCUCGCGAGAGUACCUCCUCUUUUGUACUUCCAUAAUCUCGCUUUACAGUGGUACCUCCCCAAAAUCCUUAAAUCCUUCAACAAUCUUUGGCAAUGGUUUCUCCCUCAACCUAUCUCGAUUCCUUUCAUGGUUAGGAGGUACUGUUAGAAAUUGUACAGCUUUCUUCUCAUCUUCACUCCGUACCCUUGCAUAAGCAGAACCAUUGUCAAGUACUUUUGUUUCCAUCCGUGUUGCCGUGAUAUAAGGUUGUCCUAACAUCAACGGAUAAGACGUUGUAUCUUGAACGAAGAAAUGUUGCUCCGUCGCAACAUCCCCAAUCCAAAUUUUGACAUCUGGACAAGCUCCAUAUAAUUCGCCCCAUGUGUUAUUAGCUGCUCGUAUUGCCCAUCCAUGUUCCAUAUCAAUUGGUCAUUUUUGCUUCUUAUAAAGAUCUUUAGACAUGAGAUUUAUUUCAGAACCAUGGUCCACCAAAGCAACUAUUGGUUCUUCUAUAUCUCCUACCUUCACCAAUACCUCAGUAGUUGCCCUUGUACAAUGCUUUCGAGUAUAAUGGCUCAAAGUUUCCAUUUCCUUGUCACUAAAAUCUUCGAAACAUACUCGUUGAUUAUAUCCAUUCUUUUCAUUUGUUGGUUGCUUGUAACCAAUAUCAACUUCUUCUUCAUCUCUAUAUAUUCUUGCAUCAAUAGCAUGACUCAUUCCAGAUUCGCCCAUUAAUUGCCUCUUUCGCUUAAUGCUGUCAAUGAUAACAUCAUUAAACUCCUUCUUUGCAGUUCCCAAGACUUCUUUCAAUGUGAAUUCCACCUUAGCGUUUAAUAUACGUUCUUCCAACACCCCUUUCAAAUUUGUUGCCGCUUCAAUGUCAGAAAGUAGCUUAUAAGCAAUUGAUUUGCCCUUAUCUUUUGUCUCCGUUGUUUUUUCUCCCAAUGAUGCUGAGGUAUCUUUUACAGGCAAUUCUUGUGAAGCUGCCUCCCGAGCCUUGUCUCCUCGAGUUUGCCUCUUAAAAGAAUUUCCUUCUCUAGUAUCAUCAAAAUUUCCUCAUCUUUUUUCUUCCAUCAAAGCUUCAUGUUGGCUCUUAGCAAUAUAUGCAUGAACUAAAAGAGACUCAACAGGAUCCUCCCAACCUGUUCUACCUCGUAUUAUAGCUACAGUUCUCAAUAACGCUUCUCGAGGUAAUUUCCCUUCUUGCAUUGUAGAAACGGCAGAAGCCCAAAACUCACUAGUUUUCGUACUUCCACCAAUUGCAUCAUCUACUCUAGCACCAUAACUUGCACUUUCUCGUGCUACUGUUUCAUGCUCUUUUAAGUAAUCUUGAACCAAUGCUCUCAUUCCUCCCUUGCAAAAAUUGGUUUGAAGAAGAUCCUCUCUAUUUUUCAAUGCUAUCUUCCCAUCUUUCCAGCAAAUAAUUCCCUGCCAUAUCAUAUUAUUAAAUUCAUAGCAAUCUUUUCUAGUGUGUGAAGCAUCAUCACACCAAAUGCAUCUUUGUACAUAUCCUUGUUUUGAAACAUUCUUCGAAUUGUUUAUAGAAGUAUUCUCUUCAAGUCUUGCCAAUUUGAUUUGAAGAUCUCGCAUUCCUCGUAUAAUUUCUUCCAUACCCAUAUCUGCUUUCUUUGACAAGGAUGUCGAAGGUUGAACUGUAGGCAUUGUUGGUGGUGUUGUACGUACUGGAGCUUUGGGUGCUUAUACUGUUUUCGAAAUAUUGCUCCUAUCCUUCCUCCUUUCUUUUUUUGUAAGCAAAUCCACCGCAUCUUCAACGUUCUUCCACUUCGUUGUCAAUCCUUCAUCUUCUUCUUUGUCUUCAAGAAGGGGUUCUAAUUUCUCUUGCAAUUCUCCAUCAACAGCUUGAAGAAAUAGAUCAACUUUGUUCGGCUCCAAUGUCAAUUUUUCUACCUUCGAUAAUUGAGAGUACUGCCUCUCAAAUUCCCUUAGUAGCUCUGUUGCUUGCAAAUUCUUAUUGGGCUGUUCAAUCCAUCCCAGAAACAGCUUCUUAGUAACGCGAUCAACAUCUUCCAAGAAAUAUUCGUCUUUCAAUGCAUGUAAAAAAUCCUCCCAUGAAUUCCCAUAACGAUCCCUAAUCGAUGUAAUGUGGUCCCUUAUCUCCGGUAUCGUGGCAAGUCCAAAUAGUGCAACCAUUUUCUUCUCAGAAACCCGAUUUAAUUCCAUUUCACGAACAUAACAUCUUAAAUACCUUGAAAUAUUCCUCCCAUCAAAUUGAUCAAUUUUAUUGACCACUGCUUGUAAUGCUUUGGUUGCCAAAGCUUCCUUUCGAUCAUUGCUUUGCUGUUGCUGCAUUGACAAUGAGAAGACUUGAAACAAACUAGCAAUAGACGGAUCCAUGUGCAUACCUUGUCCUUUAGAAGACUCCCCACCAGAAACUCCUCCCAAAAAUCCUUCAAAAUUUUUAUUUUCGUUUUCCAUAAAAAUAAAGAUAAAAUCAACCGAAAUCCAAUACGUUCCACCUCAAGCUUUCACGUCGGGUUCACCACUUUUUGUCAUAUUACGUGCUUUCCUGCUCGAGAACGCGCCGGGAAUUUGGCUGUAGAAGGUAGUAUGGAGAUUCGCCGAUAGUCAAGCAGUCUAUCAGUUUUGACUGCUGGAAUAUAAACGACUGCAACAAUGUACCGUAAAUCUAUACGGAUGCUCUUUGACUGCUUAUCGAAGUCCUUUUUGCCCCAGCCGAUAGGUCUCUAGACGUUACAGAGAACCCCGAACAACCCAAUCUGCUAAUCUCCGAUACCGAUUUCUACUUACGAUCUUGUAUCCACUGACUGUCUUGUUAGAUUAACCCAAUAAAUUUCAUUUACUUUGCAUACUCAAUCCUAUAGACACCCUUUUAAUCCUUCAGUCACAGACGUAACUCGAUUUCACAAAACAGUCAAGAGUAUUCAAACCCACUUCAUUAAAAAUCCCGAUUCACCAUUACAAUACUGACUUCAGCAGCGAUUGCCUCAGUCUUCCCAAAACUCUACGAAGAAGAAAAAUCCAAAUUCUAUGUCUUUCCUUCCCCGACCCAAAGCAUGAAGCUCCUUUUCUCUAAUCCCCUUGAUCUUCAAAAACCUCCAAUGAAAACCGAACUAGUAACCUUACAAAAGCUUGAAACUAGCUCCCCCCGAUUC
rnacentral:lncRNA from 1 species